UGAUAUUUGUUGAUAACAUUUUCGGCUGUAUUCUCAUCAGCAAAAAAAUUAACAUUUCGGCUUCUAAAUUAUCCGUCUACGACUGGUUACACCAAUAGCGCAAUGUUUUAAAUCAAUAUCAAAGUGCUAAAAUACACAGUUAAAACACAGUCCAGUGUUAUUUAUACAGCUUAAAAUCUAUUCAUCUAGUUCUGCGGAUCACGUGCUGUAGGGCCAAAUUUUAAUUUCACAAAGUGACAUAAAACUGGAGAAGUGCCGAGGUCUAGUGGUGAAGUGGUUUGAAGAGGCAAGGCAGUUGAAACAGCGAAACUAGCAAAGUAACGUCACUUUUUCACAACAUAAGAGGAGAAUAUCGUAGCUCUUUUCUUCUGUAUAAUAAUAAUCAGCUUUUAUUAGCAGUGCUUCUUUUAGUUUCUUUGUUAUAAUAGUUUGCCAAUAGAGAGUGAAAAUAUGUCACCAACACCAGUACUGUCGUCCUGCGUACCAUUUCCAAUUGAGGAGCGUACACUGAUUGAUGUUACACAAAAGGCUAAAGAUUGGGCUAUUAUGCAUGGUGCUGCAAUGCGUUCCAAAGCGAAUUUCAGUCCUGAUGCGCUAAAUUUUGCGCCAUUUAUUUUGACGCCAUCUUCCUUCCCGCGCAAAGAAUUUGAAAAGGCCAAAGAAUUGCAGACAAUCAUUAAUCAAUUAAUGCAUAAUGUGGCGCAUGAUGAAGAGUUUCUCACCACAACUUUAGCGGAAACUAUAAAAGUAGACGAAUUCACUUCAAAUUUGUUUAAUGUCUACAAGAAGGUGCUUGCCAAUGGCUUUGGACAGCAAAUAUCGUUGGGCCUAUUGCGCAGUGAUUUGAUGUUGGAGACGAAUUGUGUACAAAUGUUAGAGAAAAAGAAACAUACCCCGUGUGCCUACUGUUGCUGGAAACAAGUUGAAAUUAAUACAAUAGCUUCUGGUUUUGGCCAUUUAGGACCAAUAAGCAAAGACAUACAAAGAUGCCUGAAAAUACCGCUUUAUCUGGCCUCUGCGGUGGCAUGAUUAAGGCCUGGGAAGUAUACGGUGCACGGAAAUCAGUAAUUCUCUUUAUCAUUGAAGAUGUCUCCUACAAUAUCUGUGAUCAGCGUUUCCAUGAGUUUUACAUACGCGAACAGCGUCCAGAAAUAAAAGUAAUACGUCGAACGUUAACAGAAGUGCACAAAGAGGGAAAAUUGGGACCGAAUAAGGAGUUGUUUCUUGGCGAAUACGAAGUGGCUGUUAUAUAUUUCCGUGCUGGUUACGAACCUGAUCACUAUCCAACACAAGAUGAGUGGGAUGCACGUUAUAUGAUGGAGUGUUCACGUGCGAUUAAAUGCCCAUCAAUACACUAUCAUUUGGCUGGUACGAAGAAAGUUCAACAAGCGCUUGCACAACCCGAAAUGUUGGAGCGAUUUAUAAGUGAUCCAGAGAAGAUAAAAGCUAUAGGACAAAUCUUCACCGGCCUCUACUCGCUGGACGAUUCUGAAGUAGGUAAUGCCUCCUACGAAAUGGCAUUAAAAGAACCAGAAAAAUUUGUACUGAAGCCACAGCGUGAAGGUGGUGGUAACAAUGUGUAUGGUGUUGACAUUCCAGAUGCGCUGAGG
rnacentral:misc_RNA from 1 species